rnacentral:lncRNA from 1 species
CAGGGCUCAGGAAGCAGCUAAAGAGAUGAGGCAGGCGCUUUGAAUUCUUGGACAAGAACCACAGCAAUGCUGGGUCAACAGCACUUUAAAACAAUCUGUCUUUUUAAAGCAAAGCUAUGAACUUUAAAAUCAGAACAUGCAAUUGAGAGACAAAGGCGACUAUGUCUCUCAUUUAGGGCAUUUGUUCCAUUUACAGCUAAGCAACUCCCGCCACCCCACACAGUGCUGGCUGACUGAGGAGAGACUCUGCUUGCCGCCGUGGGCAUCUCUGUCAACGUUCAUUCUCUGUCCCUCAUGCCUGGUAUUCGUGGAGACCCAUGAUUGAAAUUUUUCAGGGACCUGAGGGACUUCGGGGCCUUCCUGCCAUCCUGCAGGAGAGGGAAUUGGACAAGGUGGUGUCAGAGGACCCAGGAGAACCUGGGGUCCCAGUGCACUGCGGAGGCCCAGAGCCUCCCUAAUUGGCCAUCAGAGGCCAAGUCCCAGUGCUGUCAGGUGCAGAGAAUCCUGUCCAGCAGUGACCUGAAGUGCAGAUACCUCCUCAUCAUGCUGCCUGGCAGGGCAGGGAACAGGAGCAAAGUGAGGUGAGGGAACCCAGCCCACCCUCCGCCCCCAGGACCUACAACUCGCUGCAGCCAGGACCCCAGUGUGGACCUCUGCCACUGUCCACUUCACUGCACUGCCCAGCACCCAGCACUGACCUGUGACAGAGCCUGGGGGCUUCUGUGUCUGCCUCAUCACCUUCAGCACAGACCAAGACUGGGAGCAGGGACCAUGAGCACACAGGCUUCAGUGAGUUGAGCCCCAUGGUGCUGACAGGGGCCAGUGUGUGGGCAUGGUCAACACUGACAGGCAGGUCUAGCCCUCGCUUUUGUGGCUCAGUGUGGGGAGAAGUGGCCUGGGUACAGUGGAAAGGCGGGUUCUACUGCAGUCUGCUCCAGGUGUUGGCCAUGCCGUGGUCACGCCCUCGCCUCCACUCUGAGUUUACAGUGUAGGCGUGGAGGCGGAGCCACUGCAGGCAUGGAGAACUCAGCUCCUCCCACACUGCCCAGCACAGUGGUCCUCAGCCCAGGGUGUGGACCUGCUGCAGCCCGUCACCUACACAGCAGGUGCUGUGUGUAUUUCUUGUUCUGAAAUGAACGGUGAACUUGCUGUGCAGGGAGAAGUGCCCAGCACCCCUGAGGCACUGGCACAACCUUCCCAGUGGCCACAAUGGGUGACCUGAGGCCCUGAUGAGGCACUGUUCUGGGAAAUAGCCAUAGUGAUAAAGCUGAGAACCUUCUGGGACUUGCAGAUGGUUGGUGGGAAGAUGGGCCACCCUGGUGACAGGGGUCCCUCCCUUGUGGGACAACAGGGUGGGUGGUUCAGAGAUUGCCAGGGCAGGUGGAUGGGGACCUGAGGGUAGCUGGACCUGGGGUGUCACCUGUCCAAAGCAUGCAGGGCAGGCCUUGUCCCAUACCUGUGCCACCCUCUGCAUGCACUGCACUCAGCUGUUAGACCCGUGACCCAAAGGACAGUACCAGGGCGGCUCAGCCCCAACUGGGUCUGUCUGCUUCCACUCCAGGUGUCAGCCUACCUAUGACCCCACCUGUCUUUCAUCCUCGCCUUGGGCCUGAGUACCUGGGCUGUCACAGACCCUCACCUAUGAGGUGUAGGCUGAGAGGACACAGGACACUUCUUUCUCCACAUCAAACCGUCUCUUACCAAACCAAAUUCAAGGAAGGAAAAAGACUUCCCUGACCAAGGCAAGUGUUAUGGUUUGUGUUUGGGUGUCCCCCCAAAGCCUCAUGCGGCCAUGGGGCAGGCUAUUAGAGUUGAAUGAUUGUGGGUGUGAGAGCUACACCCGCCCUGGGGUGGAUAGUUUGCAUAUGUAAGGGAGAGGAAAAGGGUGCUUGAGGCCAUUCAUCCCCCAUUCCACCCUGGUGUAUGGUGGUUGCUUUGCUGUGUUCUGCCGCCAUCAGCUGUAGCCCUCUGCCAUGUGCCACUCUGCCUUGUAACUUGUCAAGUACAGACUGAAACCUCCACAAACCGUAAGCGAA